rnacentral:rRNA from 1 species
GAUGAACGCUGGCGGCGUGCCUAAUACAUGCAAGUCGAACGCGCAGCGAAAGGUGCUUGCACCUUUCAAGCGAGUGGCGAACGGGCGAGUAACACGUGGAUAACCUGCCUCAAGGCUGGGGAUAACAUUUGGAAACAGAUGCUAAUACCGAAUAAAACUUAGUAUCGCAUGAUACAAAGUUAAAAGGCGCUACGGCGUCACCUAGAGAUGGAUCCGCGGUGCAUUAGUUAGUUGGUGGGGUAAAGGCUUACCAAGACGAUGAUGCAUAGCCGAUUUGAGAGACUGAUCGGCCACAUUGGGACUGAGACACGGCCCAAACUCCUACGGGAGGCUACAGUAGGGAAUCUUCCACAAUGGGCGGAAGCCUGAGAGAGCAACGCCGCGUAUGUGAUGAAGGCUUUCGGGUCGUAAAGCACUGUUGUAUGGGAAGAAAUGCUAAAAUAGGGAAUGAUUUUAGUUUGACGGUACCAUACCAGAAAGGGACGGCUAAAUACGUGCCAGCAGCCGCCGUAA